UAUGGCCACAUCAUGCUGAAACACCAGUUCUCGUACGAUCAUCCAAGUUAAGCAAUGUCGAGCCUGGUCAGUACCUAGAUGGGUGAUUGUUUGGAAAUACUAGGUGAUGUAAG